AAGAUAUGUUUUGCAUUUCCAAAGGCAAUGCAAGAAGGAAGGACAAACGGAGGUGGGAACAGGCUCAAUCCAAGAAGAGGGGCCUGAAGCAUGACUCAGCACUUAAUUACAUUCCCAGAGGAAAAUCCACCUCACAAGCAUGACUGGUGAUUUCAGUGGAAGAGUCAGAAGAAGCUUUUACAUCUCGCACAGUCCUCAUCAAUUCCUUCCUGAUCUGUCCUUUUAUCUCAGUCCCCACUCAGAGGCUCUGCCUGCUGGAGAGAGGAGUGGGAGAAGUGUCCUUCUU
rnacentral:lncRNA from 1 species